CACAGAGACAUCAAAAGUGGAAACAUCCUUCUGGGCCUGGAUGGCUCUGUCAAGUUGGCUGAUUUUGGGUCUUGUGCUCUGCUCACCCCUGAGCAGAGUAAACGGAGGUCGAUGGUCGGGACCACUUGCUGGAUGGCACCUGAAGUGGUGAGGAGAGACCCAUACGGCCCCAAAGUUGACAUCUGGUCCCUUGGCAUCGUGGGAAUAGAAAUGGCCAAAGGAGAGGCUCCGUAUAUUUGGGAAAUCAGUUCCAAGGCUAACUAUCUGAUCAGCACCCAAGGAAUACCACAUCUGGAAGAGCUCAGCCUACACCCGGGUUUGAGUGAAUUUCUGGGCUGCUGCCUGCAGAUGGAUGUGGACAGGCGAGGCUCUGCCAAGGAACUUCUGAAGGUACAAUGCAGAGCGGCUGCAGGCCAAACAGCUGUUCCCUGGCAAACAGGGUUUGCUCCUUGGCCCAACUCUAAGGCAUCAGAUGGGUUGUCCCCCCCAUAGUAAUCUCCACUCUGGUUGCUUUUCAAAUGAAAACCAAGUAGGAUGCAAAACUGGUUGAGCUUAGAAGAGACCACUGAAGGACAUCUAGUCCAAACCCCCAGCCACUGGCAAGGACAUCUUCAAGUAGAUCAGGUUGCUCAGAGCCCCAGCCAAGCUGACCUUGAAUGUGUCCAGAGCCGGGGCACCUGCCAGCCCUCUGGGCAACCUGUGCCAGCAUUUCAGCACUCUCCUGCUAAAGAGUUUCUUCCUUAGAGCCAAUCUGAAUGGAAUUUAGUUUCAAACCUUUCCCCCCUUUUCUCUUGCAAUUGGCCCUACUAAUUAGAUGUGUCCCCAUCUUUCUUCAAAGACCCUUCAAUUACUGAACUUGUCUCCUCAGGGCUUGUCCUUCUCCAGGCCAAAGAAGCCCAGUUCUCACAGGUGUUGCUCAGAGGAGAGCUCCCAGCUUCUGGUCAUUUCUGAGGCCCUCUUUUGCUCUCAGCUGCUGUUUUCAGGUUUACCUGGUAGCGAAGGAGCUGAAGUAUCACAAUGCUGGGGACAGAGGCCCACAGUGGGGUUUGGAAAACACAAUGGAAGCAGUCCCUGCCGAGCGGUUCUAGGUUGAUCUGUGGGAAGGCAGGGGCUGUGGGAGGCUGACUGUGAGCCUCAGAGGGGACCCAGCUUGUCCCUCCUGCCCCGCUCUUAGAGG